GUGAAUUCAUCUCUUUCCGGUUUCUUAAAGGCAACAGGAAGGAGGGGUUUCUGCCGACCCUCCAUUUGAUUGGUUCUAGUGGUUUUACCCGCUCGGACUCCUCAAGGGGCGGGAGAUGUACACCAAUCGGAAUGUGUGUUACAGAGACACUUAGUUUGAUGAAAGGACUGCGCAGGAAAGGCCGUGGGACACUCAUUCUGAGAUCUUACCGUUGAUUGGACCAA
rnacentral:lncRNA from 1 species